rnacentral:lncRNA from 1 species
CCGUAUCCUUGCCUUGUAAGCUAAACUUCCCUUCCCUUCACCUCCUGUAUGGUCUAGGAACAUUCAACGCUGUCAUGUAGUGCUCACAUAUCUCAUGAGCUUUAACCAUGCAUUACCUGUUUCUCCAGAUGCAUAGCACUAACUGGUCUGGGGAAAGGAGAUCACUAUAAAUAUCUAUAAUUAGAUCCCUGCCUCUUGGACCUCCACUUGUUGAUGACAUGAUCAAGGACAUAAAUUGAUCACUGCAAAUAUUGUCAAAUACCCGACUAAAGAGAGGAUACAGAUAUAAACUCUUGGGAACUUUCUUUUAAUUUUUAC